rnacentral:rRNA from 1 species
AUUGAACGCUGGCGGCAGGCUUAACACAUGCAAGUCGAACGAGUGGCGGACGGGUGAGUAAUGUCUGGGAAUCUGCCUUAUGGAGGGGGAUAACUACGGGAAACUGUAGCUAAUACCGCGUACCAUAGGAUGUGCCCAAGUGGGAUUAGGUUGUUGGUGGGGUAAAGGCUCACCAAGCCGACGAUCCCUAGCUGGUCUGAGAGGAUGACCAGCCAAACUGGGACUGAGACACGGCGCAGGAUCCUAAGGGAGGCAGGAGUGGGGAAAAUGGCGAAAGGGGGGCAAACUUACGCAGGCAUGCCGCGGGAAUGAAGAAGGCCGUCGGGGUGUAAAGUUCUUUCGGUAGCGAGGCGUUAACUACAGAAGAAGCACCGGCUAACUCCGGGCCAGCAGCCGCGGUAAUUC